GACGAACGCUGGCGGCGUGCCUAACACAUGCAAGUCGAACGGACAGGCCCUGCUUUUGUGGGGUGCUCGAGUGGCGAAGGGGUGAGUAACACGCGAGUAACCUGCCCUUGACUUUGGGAUAACUUCACGAGACUGGGGCUCAUACAGCAUAGGAGAUCCUGCUUCAUGGGGGGGGUUGGAAAGAUUCGGCGGAUGGGGAUGGACGCGCGGCUUAUCAGCUUGUUGGUGGGGUAGUGGCUUACCAAGGCUUUGCGGGGUAGCCGGCCUGAGAGGGUGACCGGCGCCCUGGGUCCUACGGUACGGCCCAGAAGCGUAUGGUCCGCAGAGGUCGGGAAUAUUGCGCAGCGGGGGGGCGUCUGCGGCGACGACCUUCCGGGCGUGAUGACCGCUUGCUAGUGAUAAACCGCUUUCGCAGGUACCGAAGCGUGAGUGACGGUACCGAGUAAGGAAGCAACGGCUAACUACGUG
rnacentral:rRNA from 1 species